rnacentral:rRNA from 1 species
GUCCAAGGGUUCCUGCGUAAAGUUAAUCUUCGCAGGGUUAGCCGGCCCCUAAGGCGAGGCCGAAAGGCGUAGUCGAUGGGAACGGGGCGAAUAUUCCCCGGCCAGUGGAUGGUGACGGAUGCCGUAUAUCGUUCGAGCUUAUCGGAUUGCUCGGGCGGUGAAGGGGUCCCAGGAAAGAGCCUCCACGUAAGACCGUACCCGAAACCGACACAGGUGGACAGGUAGAGUAUACCAAGG